rnacentral:rRNA from 1 species
CACGUAGGGUGCGAGCGUUGUCCGGAAUUAUUGGGCGUAAAGAGCUCGUAGGCGGUGUGUCGCGUCGGCCGUGAAAACCUGCAGCUUAACUGUGGGCUUGCGGUCGAUACGGGCAUCACUGGAGUUCGGCAGGGGAGACUGGAAUUCCCUGGUGUAGCGGUGAAAUGCGCAGAUAUCAGGAGGAACACCGGUGGCGAAGGCGGGUCUCUGG